UCGCUGGAGGUGCCGAUGAUGC
rnacentral:siRNA from 1 species